GGGGCUCGGCGCCGCGGCGCGGGUGCCCCCGCCCCCACCCCCGCGCACGCCCGGCGCGCCUGGAUGGACUCCCGGGGGCUCGCGCUGCGGAGAUCCACUUGUCAGUUCAAGGGCAGGACAGAAACUCUGCAAGCGGAGUCUUGCGAACAGGAAAUUUCUCAUUGACAAGGACCAGCAGGUCUCAGCUGCUUGGUUCACCAUGGGAACCUAAGAAUGCAUCCCCUGAAUGCAGAGUUGCCUUCCUCCCAGGCUGCUUCCAAGGAUACACAAAACCCAGCAAAGAUAAAUAG
rnacentral:lncRNA from 1 species